rnacentral:rRNA from 1 species
AGCUUUUGCGGUUCAGGAUGGGCCCGCGGCCUAUCAGCUUGUUGGUGGGGUAAUGGCCUACCAAGGCGACGACGGGUAGCCGACCUGAGAGGGUGAUCGGCCACACUGGGACUGAGACACGGCCCAGACUCCUACGGGAGGCAGCAGUGGGGAAUAUUGCACAAUGGGCGCAAGCCUGAUGCAGCGACGCCGCGUGAGGGAUGACGGCCUUCGGGUUGUA